rnacentral:rRNA from 1 species
GACGAACCGAGCGAACGUUGUUCGGAAUAACUGGGCUUAAAGGGCGCGUAGGCGGGCCGCCAAGUUCGAGGUGAAAUCCUCCGGCUCAACCGGAGAACUGCCUCGAAUACUGGAGGCCUCGAGGCGGGUAGGGGCAUGGCGGAACUGUGGGUGGAGCGGUGAAAUGCGUUGAUAUCCACAGGAACUCCGGUGGCGAAGGCGGCAUGCUGGACCCGAUCUGACGCUGAGGCGCGAAAGCCAGGGAGGCAAACGGG